rnacentral:rRNA from 1 species
AACGAACGCUGGCGGUAGGCCUAACACAUGCAAGUCGAACGCUCCGCAAGGAGAGUGGCAGACGGGUGAGUAACACGUGGGAAUCUUCCUAUCGGUACGGAAUAGCUCAGGGAAACUUGAGGUAAUACCGCAUACGCCCUUCGGGGGAAAGAUUUAUCGCCGAUAGAUGAGCCCGCGUCUGAUUAGCUAGUUGGUGGGGUAAUGGCCUACCAAGGCGACGAUCAGUAGCUGGUCUGAGAGGAUGACCAGCCACACUGGGACUGAGACACGGCCCAGACUCCUACGGGAGGCAGCAGUGGGGAAUAUUGGACAAUGGGCGCAAGCCUGAUCCAGCCAUGCCGCGUGAGUGACGAAGGUCUUCGGAUUGUAAAGCUCUUUUGCCAGGGACGAUAAUGACGGUACCUGGAGAAUAAGCCCCGGCUAACUUCGUGCCAGCCGCCGCAGUAACAC